CAUUUCAUUUCUCUCCAUUCGGUUCACGGGGAGCAUCUAAACAUUAAGCGUUGAGGUUUAAUUCUAAGAAAAAACCCGUAGGGACGAGCUAAAAAUAAAUUGCAACGAUGGAAGAGUCCACUAAACUGGCUGUCAAGUGGUCGGAGUUUGUUCCCAUGGCAGCAUCGGCUCUGCGUGCGCGAGACGCACCACCAUAUGACCUCAUACUGAGGGGGUAGUUGGCAUCCUCCUCCUAGAAGUCUAAAACAAGGCUCUAACAUCAGAGAGAGAGACACAGCCACAGCCCUUCUCCCCUUCCCCUCAUCCUCCUUUCUUCUCCCAUUGGACAGAGAGAGAGAGAGAGAGAGGGAAAGAGCGAGUGAAAGUGAGAAAGAAGAGGGAGACAUGUACCAAACACUCCUCCUCUCCUCCUCGCUCUUCAUCCUCCAUGUGACGGCCACUCCACAGUUCCACGGUCACCACGGGAGGAGGGUGUGUGGCAGAGAUAUUCAUCACAGCAGUGUCAUCAAGACGACCGAGUCGUUCGUCCAGCCCGUUCACAAACCUUACAUCACCCUAUGUCAGGGGCACCGCCUCUGUAGCACCUACAAGACAGUGUACAGGGUGGCGUACCGUCAGGUGACCAGAGCAGUGCCAGUCUCACACUCUUACCCAGAAUGCUGCCCGGGUUGGCGACGACUCCACUCACACAACUGUAACCAAGCGGUGUGUGGCCAGUCCUGUGUGAACGGAGGAACAUGUUUGAGACCCAACCACUGCGCCUGUCCUCUGGGAUGGAUGGGUCGUCACUGCCAAACAGAUGUGGAUGAGUGCAGUGAGCAGCAGCCCUGUUCUCAUCAGUGUGUGAACAUGGCAGGCAGCUACCACUGUGUGUGUAGAGAGGGCUACAGGCUGGCAGGAGACACACACUCCUGUGAGAACCUUCCUCCUCCUGCCUCUUCCACCCACCCCAGUCAAGAAGCAGCAAACGAUCACAGGCCCCCCUCCAGUGAUGCAGGUACACCUCCACCAUUAUCUUUAUCUGCAGACAUGAUAAUCAAGUGUGUGUGUGUGUGUGUGUGUGUGUGUUUCAGCAAAGCCUCCAAUGGGAGUGAAGAAGAGGACAGACAGGACCACAGCCAGGCUCUUGGUCCAUUAUUACUUUUGGUACGCGCUAUGCCAAACUCUACUCGUACCGUGAGUAAUAAUGCACUGAGACUGGUGCGCACUGCAAAGUGGACCGCAUGCAGUCAACAACCAACAAGGUGGAGGGUAUGGGCUGACUGAGAACGUAACAGAGGAGGUCCAGAGCCUGAAGAACAGAGUAGAGCUGCUGGAGCAGAAGCUCCAGUUGGUCCUGGCCCCUUUCACCAGUCUGUUCCCCAUGUCGCUGGACGAGGGUGUGUCUGAGAAAACCAGCUUCCUGUCCCACUCCUUCCAGCAGCUGGAUCGCAUCAACUCGCUCAGCGAACAGGUCGGCUUCCUCGAGGAACGCCUCGGAACCUGUUCCUGCCAAGAGAAUUAGAAACAACAGGACUGGGUCACCCUCACCAACCAGAUAUCUCCACACAAGUCUGAGUCCACAACACAAUAGGAAUGAAUGCCCCAGCCCAGCGAUAUGGGAGGAUGAGGAUGAACAUUAGCAGAACAUAGGCCUACUCAGUGAUUGUGUAUUCCUGUUCCUAUACCAGCCCAAAGGCUAACUCGAACACUAGCUCUAUGAUGGGCAACCCUGUCAUGUGCUAUGUCAGUGACACAUACAACCCUUUUAAGUGUCCCUUUCCUUCACUCCUAACAGCAUCAUUUCAUGUCAUUGCUGGAUUACGGAGACAUAGAAGAGCAUAUAGCAUCACCACCUGGGACGGUUACAGGGGCCUCAUUCUACCAUUAGCACAUUACCUGAGAGUCGAAGUUCAAACUGCCAUUUUCACUCUGAAGUAUCUGGUUUCCAUGUUUUAGGUUCACAUCAGUCUACUGUCAGAGCCCCCAUGGUGGGGUUCGCAUGGACAUCUGUAUUUAUGUAUUUAAGUUAGAAUUCCUUGUGCUUAUUUCAUAGAGCUACAAUAGUUAGUAGACUUUUUUUUUAACCUUGUUUUGUAACUUUUUGUAAUAAAAUUGAUUAAAUCAAAAAUGUCUGGUAGAGGAUGUGUGUCUGCUCCA